UCACGUAGCCACUAAAGUUCACCAAUACCACUAAUUUCACCUGAUGCAUAUAAAACAUAAGGGUAUAGCGUGAAAAUUGAACAAAUUGUUCAUGAAAUUCACCAAAAUAUACUAUACGAUAUACGUGAAUUUCAUGUCAUUGAUGCAUUGGCUGAGAACUCACUCAGCUGUCAAAUUCUAGGCAGCCAAGUGCCAAAAAACGGCAGCCUUUACCGUGCGCGAAAUGCUGGAUAUGCAAGUCAGUGUUGUGUGCCAACAAUUAUCAAUCACGCAGUUAUCAAUUUCUCAUAAGCAAAUUGAUCACCUUCAUCAUGGAGAAAUCUACCAACCUAAAUCCAACUUUCCAUCCCACAACAUAUAAACAACGAGUUUUUCAAUUGCUUUCUGCGGCGCUCUGCUUCGGUUUCCGGACACCAGAAGAUGACCACCGAAUUUAACAAUAAAAACAAAUUUCCCAUGUGUAAUUAAAAGUUAUAAAUAUGUUUGUUUCCUUUUUCUUAAAUAAAAACAUAAAGAUUUUUAUUGUUUAUUAUUCUUAUUUGUGGAAGUAGAAAAAUAAACAAAGUACAUUAAAUGA